rnacentral:rRNA from 1 species
GACGAACGCUGGCGGCGUGCUUAACACAUGCAAGUCGAACGGAAAGGCCCUGCUUUUGUGGGGUGCUCGAGUGGCGAACGGGUGAGUAACACGUGAGUAACCUGCCCUUGACUUUGGGAUAACUUCAGGAAACUGGGGCUAAUACCGGAUAGGAGCUCCUGCUGCAUGGUGGGGGUUGGAAAGUUUCGGCGGUUGGGGAUGGACUCGCGGCUUAUCAGCUUGUUGGUGGGGUAGUGGCUUACCAAGGCUUUGACGGGUAGCCGGCCUGAGAGGGUGACCGGCCACAUUGGGACUGAGAUACGGGCCAGACUCCUACGGGAGGCAGCAGUGGGGAAUAUUGCACAAUGGGCGGAAGCCUGAUGCAGCAACGCCGCGUGCGGGAUGACGGCCUUCGGGUUGUAAACCGCUUUCGCCUGUGACGAAGCGUGAGUGACGGUAAUGGGUAAAGAAGCACCGGCGAACUACGUG